AUGGCGGCGAUGACGGUGCGUGAGGUGUUGUAUAUGUACAACGUCGCACGACAGGCAUACGACCAGUUCUUGUCCGUGUGCGGCAGCCUAGAGAAAGCCCAGAAUGCGGUGGCGCUGCUGGUGUGGCUGGACCAGGGCACCAUCUCCGCCAUCCACCACAUCCCAGCCAUGGCGCCCGACACCGUCGCCGUCGUCGCAGAAGAGGCCAACACCAUCCUCGAGUGCCUCCGCCACCAGAAGCCUGCGCUCCCGCCCAUCCCAAUCAUCUCUACGCUCUGCAUGCAAGGCGGUGUCCACAUCGAGCCGGGCUUCUUUGCCUUCCACCAGGACCUCGUCGUCCGCGGGGUCGCCCACUUCCUCGACGGUGCCGGCAAGUUCGUAUUCGACGACCGCCUGCACGCCCUGCUCCAGAGGUCCGAGACUGGGCUGAUUGUCAACCCGUCGGAGCUCAUGGCGCCCUACAUCUCCCAACCAGUGGUUGUGCCGGAGGACUGCCGCUCCAUGUUCAUCACCUUCUCCAAGGGAAAUGCCAUCCACCGCUAG
rnacentral:rRNA from 1 species